AAGUACUGAAAAUAAACUCAUACCGACGCCAUCCCCAUUUCGGUCAUGAUACUAGAGAACUGGGACCGUCCAACCAAAAUCAGAUCUACAUGCUAUGGCAUUAUAAUUCUCCAAUAUUAACGUAUCAUCGUCCAAAUAGACUUAUGUUAACCGCUGAAAAUGCCUUCACAGAAGGCUGCUUUGUUGACAUUCUAGAUACACCAGUUGCAGAUUACCCACUUGCUCAAACAGAGGAAUUAGCUAAAAUUGCAUUGCAAUGCUCAAAAUUUAGAUGCAAGGACUAACCGGACCUUCGUACUGAAGUUCUUCCAGUUCUUAGAAGACUUGUAGAUGUUGCAGCUGCUAAUGUAAAGUGGGACAGAACCAAUAUUUACCCACCAAGCCACUAGUUCUAUCCAAUCCUUUAGGUGACAAGUCAUACUUCGCAAGAUGAACAUUUGGCUAAUACAUUUGAUUGCACAUUCCAAUAGACAUCUCAUGCAGUGCUUCUGUACAUGGAUUGGUUAAUGCAGGAAAUAAAUGGAUGAUCACAUACGAGAAAGCCUAGAGCAAUUAAGGCGCGGCUCCAGAAGCACAGCGUGUCACCAGUGACAAAGCCUCCAAACCACACAUUACGUUCAGCCAAACAGGAGUGGAACAAAAGCCUUGAAGAUAUCUGAAUUAUGCGCCGCCUCAAGCACUUUUGACGAUAGAAACGAAAUUGGAAGGUUCCCAUUACACAUGAUUGCAGAUAAGCUAACUUCAACGCGGAUUAGAUGGGAUUAAUCUUGAUAUUGAUACUCAUGCUUUUUUUUUUCCAGCCCUCCUUGGGGCUUUUUUUUUUUUUUUUUUUU
rnacentral:misc_RNA from 1 species